rfam:Lactobacillus cacaonum DSM 21116 NODE_46, whole genome shotgun sequence.
AGGUCCUUUAAACAUAGUCCCGUGAGGCUAAGAAGGCAGUGUCUUGAUUGAACUCGGAAAAAGACCAAAGUCUACCACUUAGCUUAUGUAGCUAGGUGGUUUUUUAUU